rnacentral:rRNA from 1 species
CGGUCCAGACUCCUACGGGAGGCAGCAGUGGGGAAUAUUGCACAAUGGGGGAAACCCUGAUGCAGCCAUGCCGCGUGUGUGAAGAAGGCCUUCGGGUUGUAAAGCACUUUCAGCGAGGAGGAAAGGUUGAUGCCUAAUACGUAUCAACUGUGACGUUACUCGCAGAAGAAGCACCGGCUAACUCCGUGCCAGCAGCCGCGGUAAUACGGAGGGUGCAAGCGUUAAUCGGAAUUACUGGGCGUAAAGCGCACGCAGGCGGUUGGAUAAGUUAGAU